ACACAUCAGACCUCAGGCUGGCUCGCCUGGCCUGCCAGACACAUGCUCAGCGGAGCCAGGUGUGAGUCUGGGGUCUGCCGCCUGGCCCUUCCUCCCUGGGGUGCAUGGGCCAUCCGGGUGGGAGCGCCAGGAGCCAGGGCUGCUAUUCCCAGACUGCAGGAGAACCGCAGCCCUGUGCCUCCCUCAGGUCUGAGCUCUCGCCUAGGCUUCCUGGGAAAGGAAAACGCCCCCACCUGUUCCAUGGGUGCAGUCUGCACUGGGAGCUUGCAAGCCAAGCCUGACUGAGGGAGGUGACAGGGACCCUGGCAUUUCUCUGUUUAUUCUGCAUCCUUUUAACAUUGUUGUUACAAAAAUAAACACUCCCAAAGUAGAAAAUUUAGAAAAUACGGAUAAGACCAAAAAAGAAACAAAUGAAAACCACCCACAAUGCUGCCUCCCAGAAGCAAGUUCACUUUCCUUUUCCUUCCAGUCUUUUUUCUGCGGGGCAGGUGCGCGUGCAUGUGCUCCUUACCCAAAUGGGCCCCUGGGUAAGCUCUGCCUGGGGAAUCUGUUUCUUCAGUUCACUGUACGGUGAGCACGUUUCCACGUCAAAGUGCAUUUUCCUUUGCCAUCCUUUCUGCCCGUCAUGUGUUUUCGGCUAGGGCGCUUGGAGCGGGGCCGCGGGUCCCAGCUGGAUCCCGCCUCCAGCCCCUUUAGGAAGGGUGCUGGGCCGGCCAGCCGGGGGUGUUGAGUAAAGGAAAGGCCCCAGGGCGGCUGUUUGCAACAAGAGCCCCGCCCCAGCCCCACCCUGACUCCUGGGGCCUUCGACUAGUCACCUCCCCCCUGGGCCUCAGUUUCUUGACCCAAAACACGGGAUGGUUGGGCUCAGGGCUUUGGCAGCUCUAAUGUCCCAUGAGUAAGCACUUGGAGACUCACAGGAUUCCAGAAACCUCUGGGAGCGUUGGCUGCUGCGGGGAAGAUGCUUGUUCCCAGUGAGGAAGAUUGUCACUCAGCUAACAUCUGUGCCAAUCUUCCCCCAUUCUGUUUGUGGGACACCACCACAGCAUGGCGUGAUGAGUGGUGUCUAGGUUUGCACCCAGGAUCUGAACCGGUGAACCCUAGGCCACUGAAGCGGAGCGUGCAGACUUAACCACUACACCACUGGGCCAGCCUGGCUUUCCUUUCCUUUUAAGGCUCAAUAAUGUUCCAUUGUAUGUCUACGCCACAUUUUGCUUAUCCAUUCAUCCCUCAGUGGACACUUGGGCAGCUUCCACCUUUUAGCCAUUGUGAAUAGUGCUGCUUGGAACACGGAUGUGCAAACACCUGCUCAAGAGGCUGCUUCCAACUCUGGCGCACAUCCAGAAGUGGCAUUGCUGGACCAGAUGGUAUGCCGGCCUGCAGCGAGGGUCCACUCUAGGUGUCUCCACUCUGUGGCAAGUGGGGAUGGCGGGAGUGAAUGUGCCUGAUGUGAUUUGCAGUGUAGUUUCCGAAAUUAAGAGGGCCAGAGCCCCACAAAGGCUUUAAAGAGGCUUUCAAGAGGUCAGCGAGUGACCAGAGAAGCCCGUCACGCUUUCCUGAGGGAAGGGAGAGGUGUGAAGCGGGGAUGUCCUGCGGGCGGCACCGCAGAGCCAUCCUUCUGCUCUGAGGAGAAAACCAUACGAUGAAAGAUCCUUUUCUUCCUGCCUACUUCCUUUCUUCAGCUUUGGACAUUGUCAUGUGAGGAUUUAGUGCCUGGAUCUGCAGCAGCUAUUUUGUGAGAUGAGGCAAAGAGCAUGAGAAUGGAAGCUGGUGUGCUAAGAGUGGUACAGAAGGAUGAACAGAUUUUGUGUGACACUGUCAUUGAGCUACUGAACCAACCCUGGAACUACUUUUUUCUGUGCUUUUUGUUAAGAAAACAAUAAAGCCUUUCUCUUAAAAAAGGUAAUAGUAACUACAAUUUUUUGGACCUUGCUGUCUUCCAAACCCUAUGUCAAGCUAAAUAGAUAC
ensembl:lncRNA